CUGGGUGCUAUCAUUUCUCCCAGCUCCCAGAUUCAACGUGCUAUUGAGUAGUUGCUGUCCUGGGUUUUGGGGGCCAUGGGAGCCCUGCAGACAGCACAUGAACCAGGCAGCCCUGUCCACACCCCUCGUGGGCCUCCCAGUGUGGCGAUAAAGAAGGAAGAGGCUGGGCACGGUGGCUCAUACCUGUAAUUCCAGCACUUUGGGAGGCCGAAGACGGUGGAUCACGAGGUCAGAGAUUCGAGACCAGCCUGGCCAGCAUGGUGAAACCCUGUCUGUACUAAGAAUACAAAAAAUUAGCCAGGUGUCGUGGCGCAUACCUGUAACCCCAGCUACUCGGGAGGCUGAAGCAGGAGAAUUGCUUGAACCCAGGAGGCGGAGGUUACAGUGAAUCAAAAUUGCGCCACUACACUCCAGCCUGGGUAACAAAGUGAG
rnacentral:lncRNA from 1 species